rnacentral:lncRNA from 1 species
AUUUACAUCUAUUUGCUGUUAUUUAAUUUGCUUAAUCUUAGACAGUAUAAACAGUCAUUUGUUUCAUUUUACCCAGGAAAGGCACUUUGAUAUUGGGUAACCAGCUAUAGAGGCAAAUUUAGAUUUUCUCAUAGUAGAGAUUUCAAAGCCUUUCCUUAGCACAAUGUAUGUUUAAUUUGAACAACACUCUGAAAUACUAUAAACCUCUACAGAUAACAUUGUUUUUAAAUGAAAAGUACCUGCCUUAUGGGAUAAAGCUUUUACAUAAAUGUCAGUUUUGAAUGCAUGCAUUUCACAGAUUGUUACCUUGUCACAGAUUGUUACCUUGUGUUCACAUAUUUGAGUUUUAGUGUGUUCAAACUAUAGCCAGUAUGUAAUUAGGGCAAAUUCACAUGCUUUUCAGAAAUUAUUUUUUUGGUUUGAUAUUCAACUACUGUGGAUUCAUUUAAUUUGGUGGAUAUCAAUUUUCGUGGAUUUAGGAAAACUGCAUUUUCAUGGAUAUUUGAUUUCGUGGUUUUGCCGAAGUCUUUGCAUACAAAGCUUAUAAAAAAUUUAUAAUUCGUUGAACAUUUGAAUUCGUGGUUCACCGGUAUCAACGAAAGCCACGAAAAUUGUUAUCCAAUAAAUAAAAAUGAAUCCACAGUAUAUGUAUUCUUAAUGAUUGUAUUGUUAUGAUUCCUGUUAUUUUGUGGUGCUAUGAUUAUUAUAUAUUUAUAAUAAAGGAGGGAUAACUUUUAUAAACU